CGGGGUGUAGCUCAGUGGUAGAGCACUUGCUUCACAUGUGUGAGGCCCUGGAUUCUAUCCCUGGCACCACAA
rnacentral:tRNA from 1 species